rnacentral:rRNA from 1 species
UACAGAGGGUGCGAGCGUUAAUCGGAAUUACUGGGCGUAAAGCGCACGUAGUCGGCUUUGCAAGUCGGGUGUGAAAUCCCCGGGCUCAACCUGGGAACUGCAUCCGAGACUGCAUUGCUAGAGUAUGGGAGAGGGAAGCGGAAUUUCUGGUGUAGCAGUGAAAUGCGUAGAUAUCAGAAGGAACAUCAGUGGCGAAGGCGGCUUCCUGGACCAAUACUGACGAUCAGAUGCGAAAGCGUGGGGAGCAAACAGG